ACAUCGAGAAAGACAAGCUCCCAGAAGGGUUGCAGGUGCAGGCUGCAAGGAAAGAAACACAUAAUCACGUCCGUUAGUGCCACUGCAGGAACGAGCCCUACACUGACUUUUGGUGUGAAUUUGAAAUAACCAUUGCACUCAACUAUCAGGGAAACAAACUGCAGAAGACCAGCUUCAGAAUCCAAUUAAUACUUAGCAAACCAGCUGUUUCUGAGGGGCAGAUCGUUAUCCUCAGCUUGAGAAUGCUGUUAAUCAACUGGUCUAUACAACGCUUCUGCUUCUGAGAUAUCUGAACAGAUUCAUCCUUGGCUGCACAUUGCUAUUAAGACACCAAAUACAAGUAACACAUUUAUGCCAAUAUGAAGCUGGCUAGCAACCUCAGGAGGAGGCCAGAAAAAUUAUGUGCAAAAGGAAUAUAGUAGAAGAUUUAUGUAUAAGUUACAGAUUGAGUGCUUGCAAGAGGGUAAGCAUUGCCUGCUAAGUGUGCCCAGGGAAGCAUUCCCUCUCCUGCAUGUGAUGUGGGAAAGAAACUGCAGGGAGGAGCUAGCCAGAGACUGAAGCCAGCAGGCAGCUGCAGAGAGCAGUUCAAGCAAAGACUGAUAGACAUAAGAACUUAAGAACAGCAAAGGUCCAAUCAGACCAGUAUCCUGUCUACCGACAGUGGCCAAUGCCAGGUGCCCCAGAGGGAGUGAACCUAACAGUUUGAAAAAGGCUCAUUACCAUCCUUGGAAACUUUUCACCAAAUGAAAUUUCUUUGGAAACUCAGGCACAGGCAGUAUUUGAAGAAAAGAACUUUUAAUUCAGCAAAGGAUAGGAUGGGUGAGCUAGUGACUUCACACAGCUCCUCUACAUCAGGAACAAGAAAACAUGGAACACUGAAAAAACAAACCAAAGCACAGCAAGGAGGACAUCUUCCGGGCAGUGAUGCAAUCCUCUGAGGCAGAAAAAAGAGAAUGUAGGGAAUGGAGAGAAAUGGACAGGUGGGACAGAAAGAAGAAUCAGGAGCUCAUACAAAAGGCCCGGGAGUGGAUGAUAAAAGUCAUGGAGGCGCAAACAGAGAUGCUGAAGUCCCUAACCAUGCUACUGUCAGAAUACAUGUGCGCUCACCCUCCCCACCACCCACGGCAGCUAAUUCAGAACUGUGUUCCAUGCCCUCCCCAAACUCCGCCCACCCAUUUAUUGCAAAUUCCUGGAACAUCUCGAUACCCCGUUGACUCCACCCCUUCAGACAGCUUCCAAAAUGAUAGCUGGACUUAUGGGCAGCUAUCAGAGCCUACACUGGCCUGCACUGCUAUCUCCCUUUCCACCAAGCCUUUGUGUGUGUUUAUUGGUGUUUAAUAAAA